rnacentral:tRNA from 1 species
AAAGGGAGACCUAAUUCAGGUAGGAGACGAAAAAAAGUAGUCCCUACCAAGAAUCAAUCCCAAAAGGUCGGAGCGAGGCAAAAUUGGCUUUCAAACUAGGUUCUGGGUUCACAUAAGACCUGAAUCAGGAACAAGGGCUAUUAGCUCAGGUGGUUAGAGCGCACCCCUGAUAAGGGUGAGGUCCCUGGUUCGAGUCCAGGAUGGCCCACCUGCACAGGUGGCAAAAACAAAGAAAAGAAGCUCCGAAUCAGCACCUUAUCUUACUUAUAUAGUAAGAGAGAAUGCUGGCUCUGAGUUCAGAGUCCAGAGGAACCUUGAAAACUGCAUAGAGCUAGGUGAAAAAGCCAAAAAAGAAGACCGCAAG